CAAUUGAGGUACUUAUGUUUAUUAUUUUUAUUCUACAUAUAGCUAAUAAUUGUAAAAAAUAUAAAAUGUAGUUGUUUUAAAUUAAUCUUAACAUUUUAGGUUAUGGGGCCAUCCUCAGAACUUCAAAUAAACAUAACAAAUACAAUUGGAGGCAUUUAUGAUGAGCUUCAGCUAGUUAAUGAAGCAUUCUGUAGUUCUUAAAUGAGAAAUACUGAGAUUUGAAGAUUUUUUCUUAUACUGUACAGCAAUUUAUAAGUAUUCCACUUUGGUCAAGCUUUAUGGCGGAAAAUACCAUCAAACACUAACCUUCGAAAAUCAUAUCCAAAUCCAAUAUCGAAUCCAUAUGUAUUUACUAUUUAUGGUUAUUGAUGUUAUAAGAAAUAUUCAUAUCGAUACAGUAACACGUAUGAACCAUAAGAGAAUGCAAAAUAUUAUCAGACCAAUUGAAAAACAGAAACAAAGGCAUUUGUUUCAAUUUUGGGUAGAAAUUUUACUUGAUGGAGAUCGUAUAAAUUUUUAUUAAAUAACGUCGGCAGUCGGUUUCAGCCAAUCAAACUUUGAAAGUUUUAAAUUUUUUUGAAUUUAUAUUUUUAAUUUUUGAAUAUACACACAUUUUUUGAUGAAAUAUGAGAAAAAAUAAUUAAUUAUACAUAUACAAUAUACAUAUGCGUUUUUUGUUAAUCGACCUUUUUGGGGUCAAAAUCAUAACUGUGCGGUUUUUGAAUUCGACAACUUUUUAAAUUGUGCGGUUUUGUCCUAUAUUUGAUCAAAAGUGUCCGGUUUUUGGAGUCAACGCAUACGAUUGCGUACAUUAAAGCAUUAAAUUUAAUAUUUACUCCAAGAGUCAAACGAUUGCGUAUGAUUUGCUGUGCAACGUUGUACAUUUUUUAUUUUAUUUGUGAUCAGUAAAAUUUUAAUUUUGAAAAAAUGACUUAAGUUAUGGUACCACUAUACUCAAUUUUUUGACAAAUAUGUUAUAAUAUAGUGUACAAAAUAAAAUAAUUAAAAAUAAUAGAAGGUUUCAAUAAUAUAAUAAAAAAUGUUAUACCU